rnacentral:rRNA from 1 species
UCCUACGGGGCGCAGCAGUGAGGAAUAUUGGUCAAUGGUCGGGAGACUGAACCAGCCAAGCCGCGUGAGGGAUGAAGGUACAGAGUAUCGUAAACCUCUUUUGUCAGGGAACAAAGGCGGGGACGCGUCCCCGGAUGAGUGUACCUGAAGAAAAAGCAUCGGCUAACUCCGUGCCAGCAGCCGCGGUAAUACGGAGGAUGCGAGCGUUAUCCGGAUUUAUUGGGUUUAAAGGGUGCGCAGGCGGUCUGUUAAGUCAGCGGUCAAAGCCCGGGGCUCAACCCCGGCCCGCCGUUGAAACUUGCAGG